rnacentral:rRNA from 1 species
AUUGAACGCUGGCGGCAGGCCUAACACAUGCAAGUCGAGCGGACGAAGGGAGCUUGCUCCUGGAUUCAGCGGCGGACGGGUGAGUAAUGCCUAGGAAUCUGCCUGGUAGUGGGGGAUAACGUCCGGAAACGGGCGCUGAUACCGCAUACGUCCUGAGGGAGAAAGUGGGGGAUCUUCGGACCUCACGCUAUCAGAUGAGCCUAGGUCGGAUUAGCUAGUUGGUGGGGUAAAGGCCUACCAAGGCGACGAUCCGUAACUGGUCUGAGAGGAUGAUCAGUCACACUGGAACUGAGACACGGUCCAGACUCCUACGGGAGGCAGCAGUGGGGAAUAUUGGACAAUGGGCGAAAGCCUGAUCCAGCCAUGCCGCGUGUGUGAAGAAGGUCUUCGGAUUGUAAAGCACUUUAAGUUGGGAGGAAGGGCAGUAAGUUAAUACCUUGCUGUUUUGACGUUACCAACAGAAUAAGCACCGGCUAACUUCGUG